rnacentral:rRNA from 1 species
UCGCUCCUACCGAUCGAAUGAUCCGGUGAAGUUUUCGGACCGUUGCUGUGGGGUGGCAACACCCUACGGCGAUGGGAAGUUACCUAAACCUUAUCAUUUAGAGGAAGGAG